ensembl:lncRNA
AUGUCCUGGUGGAAACACAAUCAUACAUCCACCUGUGCUAGAGGCUGGAGCCUAAAGACUUCGGAAGAACCACUGUCACCACCAAGGUUGCCAGAAGAUUCCAUCUUCAUUGUUGGCUUCUGUGGAGGUCUCCUAUGGCAGGAGGGACUUUGACUUUAUUCUCCUGUCUGUGGCUUCCACGGUGGCGGCAGGCGAUCCCAGCCUCCUGUGAAUUUGGUGAACCAGCUGACCAUGUCUGGCAAGCCUCCUGUUUCUGGUGGCAUUAAGAUCAGACCAGCCUUUACCUGGUUUACCAACAUGACACUGGGUGUUUCUUGGCUCCGUUACAGGUGUGAGGGGACAGCAAACUCACAUGGAUGCACAUGGAACUUCCGAGACCAGGGAUCAAACCUGUGCCCCCUGAAUUAGAAGCAUGGAGUCUUAACCACUGGACCACUUGGGAAGUUCAAGGACAACUUUAAUUAUUAUUUUAACAAACAAAUCAGAGCUUAUACAUCCAAAUGGCAAAUGUUCUUCAAACCAUGUUGCCAUAGCUCACUGUAUUUUAAAACUGUCCCUAGAGCCUUGCUGUAGAUUUUUAUGAAAAGUUCUCCAUAGCCUCAAAUGGGUGCAUUUGAUUCUUUGGAAACAACUGGAGUCAUUUGAAAGUAAGCCUCGUGAGCAAGGUAUGUGAUCAAGCUGGGAGACAUCAUUAUGUGGUGGGGCUGUAGCCAACCGAAACCAGAAAGGAAGGAGAGUGUGAACAAGUUGUGAACACAGUUUGUAAAUGGAAUGGAAAGCAUUUUAGAUAGUAUUUGGAAGGAAUUACAGUCUCCCAAGAUGAUGAUUUUAAAAAAUCCCUCUCAUUCUGAAUAAACUGAUCAUAUACAUGUACGUGGAUCUUUUUCUUUUUUAAAUCAAUCUGUUUUAUUACAACCUUAAUAACUUUAUAAUAUUAUAUUUACAGAAGUUGUUCUCAGUUCUCUCUCCACGUAUGAAGAUCCCAAGCUGUCCAGGGUAUUUUCUCUGCCCAUCAUGACUCAAGGCAAUGAGAUUGUCUG